GGAGAGGUGGCUGAGUGGUUGAAAGCGCCAGAUUGCUAAUCUGUUGUAUGAUAUUUCAUCAUACCGAGGGUUCGAAUCCCUUCCUCUCCU
rnacentral:tRNA from 2 species